rnacentral:lncRNA from 1 species
GCUAGUUAACACUUCAGAGGCCACAUUUAUGACCAUUUCUUAAUGAAACUUGGUCAGAAUGUUAAUCUUGAUGAUCUUUAGGUCAAUAGGUCAGGUGAGCAAUACAGGGCCUUCAUGGCCCUCUUUUGUAAAUAGUUAACCUGUUUGAAAUGGCAUAUUCAUAAAAGUCUGAUCUCCGAAAGCAUGCCUUGGGUACCAGGUGUUUUGCAUUAUAUUUCAUUGUAAUUAAACAUUCAGACAUACACAUUUUAUGAAAUAAAAUUAUUGCUCAAAAUGGCCAUGAAUAAUGUGCUUUGCAACGGAGUGCCUUCUUUUCAUGAGAAUUGUUUGAAUAUUUUUUCAUGUGCAAAAGAAUUGAAUGCUUAUUUAGAUCUUUACAAAUGUUUUUAUAUGUAUGUAUAAUAUGUAAUAUUUUGAAGAUUGUAUUGUGUAUUUUAGAGAUGAAUAUAUGCACUAUUAAAGCCUUACUGCUGCAACAUUAACCAUUGAAUAUCACUAUUCCAUUACAGUCAUUUUACAUCCAUUUUAGUUCUGUAUUUAAAGUGGUGCUUCAAAAAGGUAGUUCUAGUAUGGGUUUGUAUGUAUUUUUGUUACAAUGUAAGAUGAAAGCAAGAAAAUAAGUUUAAAACUUUUGAGAACAUUUUGGAGCAAGUACGAGAUGAAGGAGAUAGAAAGUUGUGGGAAGAGUCCAGAAAUUAAAGGUAUUAUAUUCCUGACUUGUUAGCAAAACAUUUCUUCUUGCUGGGUAAAGAAUGGGAAUAUCAACAGGUCUAGCAUUCAAGUUGGUCUCUUAAAUGUUUGUGACCAUGAAGUAACAGGUUAUUUAAACAGCUGGUUAUAUAUAUUUCAUGCUCCCCAAAGUGGGGAGCAUAUAGUUGCCACCUUGUCCGUCUGUCUGUCUGUCCAUCACACUUCUUAUCUGGAGCAUGACUCAAAAGGUAUUGAAGAUACCAAGUUUUAACUUCACACAAUGAUUAGGCUCAUAUAGCGGAAGUGCAGUGAUAAGGAACUAUAACUGGAGGUGAUCCCAUUUUUGCUCUUGAUUUUUUG